rnacentral:rRNA from 1 species
GACGAACGCUGGCGGCGUGCUUAACACAUGCAAGUCGAACGGAAAGGCCCUGCUUUUGUGGGGUGCUCGAGUGGCGAACGGGUGAGUAACACGUGAGUAACCUGCCCUUGACUUUGGGAUAACUUCAGGAAACUGGGGCUAAUACCGGAUAGGAGCUCCUGCUGCAUGGUGGGGGUUGGAAAGUUUCGGCGUUUGGGGAUGGACUCGCGGCUUAUCAGCUUGUUGGUGGGGUAGUGGCUUACCAAGGCUUUGACGGGUAGCCGGCCUGAGAGGGUGACCGGCCACAUUGGGACUGAGAUACGGCCCAGACUCCUCCGGGAGGCAGCAGUGGGGAAUAUUGCACGAUGGGCGGGAGCCUGAUGCAGCAACGCCGCGUGCGGGAUGACGGCCUUCGGGUUGUAAACCGCUUUCGCCUGUGACGAAGCGUGAGUGACGGUAAUGGGUAAAGAAGCACCGGCUAACUACGUG